UUUGCACCUGUGGAGAAAAAAAAAUAAAACCCAAGUCUUUGUUUGUGCAGCCAUCUAGAGAUGAAAUAAAAAGAUACCUCCCAGAUACACACUGUUACUGUGAGUCAGUAUCCAUCUGACUCACAGUAACAGUAAUCAGGAUUUAACAGGCUGUGAGUAACCUAAAUCUUUAUUACACUUGACCUUGUUUCACGUGCUAACAGACUUGAAAAAUCAAAGAGAAAGUGAAUUAUUUCUUUCAGAAAUGAAAUGAUAAACGUCUUACUUUCAGGGAAGGUACAGCAACCUGUACUCAGGGCCUGUGAGGAGCAAUAAAUGUAGGCUAUUUUAAAAAAACUAAUUAGGAAGCCGUAAGAACUGGCUGUAUCAUUCUGAAGUUUUAAUAGGACUUUAAUGUACAAUUUAUAAACAUUUUUAACUGAGGCUCUAAUGGCCCUAAAGCCAUUUUAAUAAGGUAGCACACACUUUUCAGAUACAGCUAAUGACUUCUUGUAGCAGGACAAAUUCUGUGCUGCGUGUCAAGCAGACAUGCAAUUACUUGGGCUACUGAACAUGCUUUGAAAAACUGCAAAACUUACAAGUUCAUAUUCUAUGUGGAUUCAUAAGAAGUUUUAUUUAUUAGGAAGUCAGGGCCAUGUCAUUAGUUAUGCACUGCAGUGGUGAAGAAUAGCAAUACACAGGUACUAAUUUUAUUUUCCGAGUUAAAGUCACUUACUUCUUUGAGUAGAAAGCAUCAUCUUCUUUUAUUUCAUUAACAAUGACUUUUGGUGGCUCUUCUUCCUCCUCUUCUCCUCCUUUAAAUAGAAAGUUUUAAUAUGUUAAUGUUGUGAGCACAGAUUUUGGCACUCUAUCAGAAGUCCCUUAUGCCCACCAUGGUUGGCAGGGACAUGUGGCUGGUCAGUGACAGCCAGAACACCUUUCAGCCCAUGUGUACUCUGCAGCAGCUUCAGCUACAAAAAAAAGUGUUACUUGCUUUUCAUUCAGCUCUUAAAGCAACCUCAUCCUACCCUUCAGUUUAAGUGGGAUCAAAAUACCCAAUCCAUAUCAAACAGACACCAACAAUAUAAAGCUUAGUAAGCCAAAAGCUUCUGUUUGAACGGAAAGAGUUUUCACAUUUCAAAGAGUAUGCUCCACAAAUGGGUUCAAGUAAAGCACAAUUAAUACUUCCAAUUUCCAGGUUUAAUUAGGGGGAUGGGAAUUAGUUGCAGAAUGACAGAUAAGAGAGUGGCAGAUGAUGCCUUUCUAGCCUCUCAGCUACUGGGAUUUCUAUCAGCCUAUUGAUAGACUGACAGACCAGAGUAAAGCUGUCAGGUACUAUGUAACUUUGUUGGCCUCCUUACAAUCUAUUAAGUAAAUGGACUAAACUGUUCUGUAUCUGAUGCUUUUUACUGCAGGGAUCUCUUGAUAAACCUACUAGGAAAAGCAGUGGGAUCGAGAAGUCCAGCAGGCUCAAAGGAUUAUGUAAUUUCAGGUUUAUUUUCAACAACUUUGAGCAUUUACAAUGGCAGUCAAGAGCCCAAUACUUUAAUCCACUCAUCACUCUGGAAACACCUGUGAAACCUCUUCUGAUUUACCCAAAAUACUCCAAUGUGACUGAUGGAAGAUGCAAAGACAAACCGUACUUGACCACAAAAUAUCUGUAUCUGCAAACUUUUCAUUACCCAGUUCUAAUCACUGUCUUUGCAACCGUAUUAUUUUAUGGUAUAGUUUCUUACGUGUUUCUAAAAGACAAAGUACAAUUAACAUGCAAAUAAAGAACUGCAAUUUUAAGGCCUUUGGAGGUCAUGAACUUUUACCACUCAAAGUGAACUUUCAGUGUCUCUGGAAAACCAUCAGAUGAGAACUGCUUCUGAGUUUCAUCUGCUUUUGAAGAAAUGGCAAAGCUUGUCCAUUCCAGUAUCUGACCUUGUGGUUAUGGGUCUCCAGCACAGUCCUCUGCUUCACAUUCCUAGCUCUGUUCUUCAGGACCUCUUCACUUGCCACAGAGAAUGUUCCCACCUUGAAGAGGAAGUUAUGGAAUCAUUAGUGGAAUAUUCAAAAUACACAACAUGAAGGGAUGGCCAAGAUCAGGUUUUGAACACAACUCUAACACUGCUACCAAACAAACAAGGGGAGAAGUUAAAAUGCAGCACUGUCAUCGGCUUACCAGCUACCUGCAGGUGAGUUGAUACUUGGAAAACUCUUUCUGGUUCUGCACUACAUUUCUCUUUGUGCUAUUUCCAUUUUAUUAAAACAAAUAAUGUAAGUUUUGUUUUGCUUUUUUAAAACACAGCUCUAAGAUCUCUCUGCUGAAGGGAAUCUGUCAGUAAUCCACAGUUUGGAACAGUUAUAUGGAGAUGUGGGCUCUAAGGCAACCUCCAGCAGCCUGCUGUAGUUCAAACACUAGCAAAGACAGCUAAUGGCUCAGUACCACCCUGCAACAAAUGAGGAAAUUAAGUUUUCUUAUAUUCAAAUUCCUGGAAGAGUUAGUUUUCUUUUUUACAUUUACAGGCCUAAGCGUUUAAUACUUUUAGUUGGACAAAAACUAAACCAGUUUGUUUAAAUAUGAGCCAUAAGGGAAGUAUGAGACAUUAAAGGUGAAAAUGUCUUUUUACAAUUAGGUGAAACAUACCACUCAACUAUUUGCCUAAUUCCUCCGGCUGUGUGGAGAAAUUCAGCUAAAAUUAACAUAGCUCUAAAAUCAGCUAUUACUGACCCUCAAAAAAUAUACUGGAGGCAUACAGAGCAUUUAUCUCCAGAAAUCAAAUCUGCUUUUAAAGAGUCCAAAAGCAUUUUAACAAGCCUGGGGUUCCCUCUAAAAAUAUUAAGUUCCUUUCUCCAGAACCACUGACGAAAUUUUUACUCUUAAAAGCUGUUUUGCUAUAUGGUCUGCAUAACUGGAAGCUUUAUAGAAAUAAUUUUUUAAAAAUCCACUUCUAUAAAAUUAUCUUUAAUUGCUAAACUUUUAACCAGUUCUACUGUAGGUUUUAUGCACAAGAUACACAACAAAUGUAAACAGCUACUAGCGGGGAACUAAUUUGUAUUUUACCUCUUCAGCUUCAUCCUCUUGGUCCCAGUUUCGGUCAGUCAGUUCCUUUUCAGCAAUUCUCUUUGCCAUUUUUCCACACUUGUUGGGGAGAAACAAAAAAUCCUAGAAAGAAUUGCACAGAAAUUAAAUUCUAAGUGGCAGUGAUCUUCAAUUUGUAUUCUUAGAACAAAAAAACAGGAACUGCAGUUCAUAUAGAAGCAAGUCAAGAUUGGAAUGACAACUGAAAACCAAGUGUUGUGGCAAAAACAGCCAACAGCACUUGAGAUUCAAGUUGUGGUGAUCAGCCAUAUUCAAUCUUAAAGAACAACAGAAAUGUACAGUGCAGUUAUGGGAUAAAUAUUAUUUGGCAGAUGGAAAAAUUCCUUUCGGAACCAUAACUCAUAUACUCGUAUUCUGAAGGGCUACAAAAACCCCAAAGCUGUGGUUAAAACAUUCCAUAUUCCACUCCACAUUGCCACCUCAGGAUACCUAUGUAAGCAGCAAGAAAAAAGGGAGUUGCUUUAUAACAUCUGAAAUAAAUACUAAUGAGGACCCACUGAAUCAGCUGAGCAGAGAGCUUGGUUAAGACCGAAGACAAUGCUCUCCUUUAAAAAAUUGGACUGGUUGUCCAUUACUAAUUUGAAAAAAAAAUUAAAUAAAUGAGAUUGGCUUUCCUACAAAGGACACAUAAGUCAUGCCAUGGAUUUUACAGCAAUUACUGUAAGCAAAGAAAUCAUGAUUUUGCUGGUUAUCUCUGUGAUGUAAAGCAAAAUCAGCUUUGCAGAAGGAAUGUCUGUAACUGUUCUCAGUCCCAUUUUACUAACGUAUAACUUAUGAGCUGUGUACAAAACCAGAAAAAGAAAACAUGGUAGCUGGAUUCAGUCUAAAAAACCGGGCAAGCAAUCACUGUACAGGAAUUUUAUGUGAAAAAAGAUGUAUUUCACUAACUAUGGUUAUAUCUUCUGAUACUAAAUGUGUGUAAACUUACCAAAGGAAAUAUGUAGUUUUGUUGCAAUUUAAAUCUCAAACAAGCACAAAAAUUAAAACUCUUCCAAAA